AUGAAGGCAGCAAAAAAAUUAUAUUGCAGUCACACUUUUGGACAUGCACAGAAUUAGUUUAGCAUCUGAUUGUCUGAUGUGACACGUUACUGUAGCAGUUUGUCAUCCUGCUGCAGAUAUGGUUUUAUCUUUGCACAAACAACAGCAAUUAGGAGAGCAUCAGCCAAGUCAGUCAGGAGGAGGGCUCAGACUUUGGCAAGAGCUGCACUCUCCUGUACUUCACAGGCGACAUGCAACAACAUUCAAGAGUGGUCUGCAGAGGAGAAGCCUGCCGCUGGCCCGGCGUGAUGAUGAAUUUGGUGCAUCAGCAGAAUGUCAGCGGCUGACAGCUGCCUGUGAGUCCGCAAUAAACGAAACCACCUUUGAGAAGA